AUGGCAAUGACGGUGAGUCCCAGAAUAGGUAGGAUGGAGUGGAAGCCUCAUAUCUUUCCUAAGUCCAUCAAGUUCCUGUUUGUGGGCCUGGCCGGGCUCCAGCAGGCAUUAGUUCAUCUGGAAUAUCUGACUCUUGAUUCCAUUCCUGCCUUCCCCGGGAUGGGAGCUACAGAUUUUGUUCAGCCUCUAGACCUAGUGAAGAACUGGAUACAGCUAAGCAGGGAAGGGGCCAAGACAAGAGAGUAUAAAAUCAGCUUCCAUGCCCUCAAAGCAUCCUGAAGGGAAAAGGACUAAUAGGCAUUUACACUGGACUGCCAGCUGGUCUCCUGUGCCAGGCCACCUACAUCACUACUUGCCUUGGCAUUUAUACCCUGCUUCUUGAGUGCCUGACCAGAGCUGAUGGUACACCCCCUGACUUUCUGCUUCAUGAAGGUCCUGAUAGGCAUGACCACAGGUACAACUGGUGCCUUUGUAGGAACACUAGCCAAGGAGACUCUUAUCAGUAUGACUGCUGGAUGGUCAGCUUCCAGCUGACAGACACCAUGCUACAAAAACAUGUUUAAUGCCCAGAGUCCACCUGCCUGAGAAGAGGGAGUCCCCAUACUGUAGCGGGGCUGUAUCUCUACAGUGGCUCAGGCUGCCCAGCUUGCCUCCUACUCCCAAUCUAAGCACUUCUUACUGAACUCAGUCUACUUCUCUGACAAAAUCCUGUGCCACUUUUGUGCCAGCAUGAUCAAAGGCCUCCUCACCACUGCCAACCUUCAUCAGCACAUUGUGAAGACUUGGAUCCAGAACAUGCAAAUGAUUGAUGGGAAGCCAGAAUACAAGAGUGGGCUGAAUGGGCUGAUGAAGGUUGUCCACUGUGAGGGCUUCUUCAGCCUCUGGAAGGGCUUCAUACCAUACUAGGCCCACCUGGGCCCCCACACUAUCCUCAUCUUCAUCUUCUUGGAGCAGAUGAAUAAGGCCUACAGACAUCUAUUCGUUGGUGGCUGA